UUGAAAUGCUCCCUGGGACCUGAUCGUUGCCCUGUACUGUGCUGUUCUAGAGAGUCUACCUCCUCUCUGUGGCAAGUAACACGAGGAAAGAGAUCUAAUGUUGGGGAAGUUUCCACACACUUCCAAGUGACAUGCAGGCGUGAUCUCCUUUAGCACAAAUCCUCCUGAAACCAUUCUGGUGUAUAAAAUCAAUCUGCAUGUUCUUAAUUGAAAAAUAUAGAGAACACUCAUCCAAAUCAUUUGAAUUAACACUAGUAAUGAUGGUGCCACGUCUGUAUAGCCAGCCCCCUGGAGAGACAGACUGCUGUGUCCUUGAGUCUAAGUGCUCCAUAAUCAUUACCCUACAAACCAAAUGGAGACACUGCCUUUUCUCCAAAGAGCAAACCAAGCAAAAAUUCCAAGAUGUUGGCCAAAAGGCAAAUCAUCCAAAGAACCCUUUCCCUCUUCUCUCCCUUCUGAAAGCACUGGCUGUUCUCAGGAGCCCUGAAACUCAUAACUCCCCUGCAGGUGAAUAGCAGGCUCCAGGAGCAAGAAAGUGGAGAUUCCUGUUCCUCAUGAGGACUCUGGAUGCCUCUGGAAACACUGGCAUCAGUAAUCCAGAUGUCUACAUGUAUGCUCUUGAAAGAGAAGCAAGGGACCAGGAUUCAGUAGGCCUGGGCAGGUGAAGGAAGAUUUGCGCAUAUUUAUGGACUAAGGAAUUGGCAGAGGGGAAGCAUUAGAAACUACGAGGAGAGAGGAGAGAAUGGAUAGAAACAAGUCCGAGGACAGGUGAAAGAUUUGCUCCAGCCCUGAAGAGGAAGAAUUUGUUUGGGGGGUGAAGGGGGUGGCAACCAAACAGUAUUUCUUUAUCAGACACCAGAGAGAAGAUGAGUGGAAAUGAAAUGUUUUUUAGGUAGAAUGGAAGGUAUUUGCGUCAGAUGGCUUCAGUUUUCUCAGAAAAGGAGUGAAAGGGUUGAGGUUUGGAUGAACAAAGUUUGGGGAGAGUGGAAAAUGUUUAGGACAAAACGUCAAGUAGAGAGGGUUAAAGGAUUACCAAGUAGAAGUGGCAGCUGCAUUAACCUCAAGUGGCAUGAUCUGUAGUCCGGAGCAGAGGGCGUCAUUGCUGCUAAGCUGGGUCAGGCCCUCUGACAAUGGUCUUCUGACCUGACCUUGCCCUUUGCGAUUUAUCAGGGUCUUUGCUUCAGUCAUUUCAAUGGCUCUCUUUUGACUACAAGACAAUUCAAGGACUUCAGCUUGACCCACAGGCCUUUUGCCGCCUGACCCCACCUAACUCUCUAGCACCCUUUUGAUUUGCCUUCUGCCAUAGAGAAUUAAUUUUAGUUCCCCAAAGCCUCAAGCCCUUUCAUUGCUUCUGGACCUUAGAUCCCACAGCUCCUCUGAAUUGUUUAUUUCCCUUUAAUGCCUGGAGGUUAAACGUGUUUUUUGUUUUUAAGGUUACCUUCUCCAGGGAGCCUUCCAGGAUCGCCUAAGGCAAAACUGAUCGCUCAGCCUCUCCUUUUGCCAACCGUCUGUGCGCUAUGAGCCUUCCCAACAUCACAUAGCACUUCAUAUUUCAUCAAUUCUCAGAUGCCCUUUUCUUCACAUUUCAAAAAUCUCUGAAGUGAGGAUGUAUCUUACUCUCAAGAGUAUGUAACAGCUUAAUUGGCAGUGUUUUUUUAAAAAUAUCUUGGUGGUACAGAAAAAGGUGCAUCUUACACUUGAGAGUAUUGGUGAGAUGCAGCUUCACUCUUUUGAAAGUAAGUGAAGCAGUGCCUAACAUCGAGAGGUGAUCUUGUUUCCCUCCCACCAUAUACAUUUAGCGAUGUGUGGUUUAUCAGUUGGUGGGAAGGGUAUGCCACUGGCAUCCACUGGUCGAGGCCAGGGCUGGUGCCAGAUAUCCCGCAGUGCAUAGGACAGCCCCUCCCAGCAAUCAUCCAGUGCCAGAUGUCAAUAAUGUGGAGGCUCAUAAACCCCAGACUAUUUAUUCCAAUGUAUGAUGCUUUAUUAUAUCUGAUUUUAAAUCAAUCUCUUACACUGUAUAGUGCAACCUAAUAUAUAUCUUUUUUCCCCCCAACCUUGGCUUGUAGAGCAAGAUUAGCAACUGUUGAGAAACGCUCUAAGGGGUCUUCAUUGCCCCUCCCCCAUUAGAUUCCCCAGGGAAAUGAAUGAAGCAAUGUUCCAGAUGAACACUGGAAGGCCAGAAGGUCUCAAAGAGAUUUGUGACCUUAAAUCAGUUGGUUAAUUGCAAGGCCAAGAUGGACUCCCAGAGCCCCAGGUUUCCACCAUCCCCCUCAGCCUGGGAGGCAGCUGCUCUGCUCCCGGCCGAAAUUGGCCACCACAGCUUGGUACCUUAAGAGGAAACUCUGCCCUACAAAUAUGAACUGCAUGACUUAGCAGGAGUUUAGCCUGAGUAUUCACGCUUCAACACCCGGGACCCACCCCACUCUCAGGCUACUUUAUGAGAAUUUAGGUUGACUCGGUAAGGCCCCUGAGCCCUGUAGGGAAUUGGAUUUAUGCAAAAAUAACUGCCAUUCAUAAGUGUGAAGGAACUUUAAAUAAAUAUAGGUGAUUUCAUCAUACAAAAGUCAGAGGGAACUUAAUACGCAAAAAGCUCUGGAGGAACCGUGAUGACUGUGGAAAGGGAGUAGGAGGAGCUUCCUCCAUCCCUGGAAGCUGCACAUGUGUGUAAAGGGCCUUCAGCUGGAGCAGGAAGCUGAUUUGCGUGAGAGGGGAACGAGUUCCAGAAGAAGGUUUGGGCCAGCCCUUUCUGCAUCUCUGUUCUGCUGCCAGGUGGGCCCCAGAUGGAAUUCCAGCCAGCUGCAGAAUGGAAAUCACUAGAUGCAGGCUGACCUGAGGCCCCACUGUUCUACAUACCAGGCUGACUCUGAGAGCCACGAGACCAACUGAACUGCAGGAGGUAUUCCUCCUCCUCUUUGCUCAGUGCAUGUGAUCAGGUGAGAUGAACCCGUCCCAUGGCAGAAGUGAACCGGAGCAUCUUGGCUGAGCCCAAUCGCACAUCAUGUUCCCAUUGUGAAUGGUCAGGAAUGGAGCCAUUGACAGGAUCAUUUAUGGUGUUUUCAGCUUAAUGUACUGUAUGAGAGAAAAUAAGGGAACUAGAGGAGAAUGUAGCCAAAAGGUGAACUCCCUUUUAAUAAAACUUCACAUACAAUAGUUUAAUCAGUAAGAAUAGAUUAUUGUCUCAGAUCCUAGUCUUAAGGUAGGAUGGCUCCAGGGUUGGUUGAUCUUCAGGAUAUCAGCUCUCCAGAGAUGCUCCUCUUUCCAGAAAUGGUGAAAUCCAACUUCAUGAAGCUAACACUCCUGCCGUCAGAUGGCUGACUGCAGUGACCCUGUGAGUAUACGAAACUAAGACGGUGUAAGUUCUGGAGAUUCUGCAGCCGUCUUGUGAGUCUGAAGGGAGAGCCUGCCUAUGAAUGAGCCACCAUGAAGAGAGAAAAGCCAAGAGAGCUAUAGAGAGAAACCAGUGGUCUCCCAGCACAUCCGAGCCCCACAUUGAGCAGCAUAAGAAGACAGCCCCAUCACUGAGCUUUUCAGUUAUACAAACCACCAAAAUCUCUUUUUGUUUGUGUUUGUACUUGACAUUGAAUUUAUAGCCUCUUGCAGCAGAAAGGUGCAAUUUCAGCAAACUGUUUGGCAUACGUUGUAGCAUAGAUAAGUUAAUGAAGUGACCUAUGAUCUAGUGCCCCCGCCCCAGGCAAAAUACUGCUAAAAAGGGACCGCUAAUAAAGGUCCCUUCACACAUGUCCAGCAUUGCUUCUGUCAUUACCUCAUCUUUCUACUACCUCUGCAGUCAUGGGAAAAGAUCUUCGAGCCCCUCUGGCCUUUCCUUUCCUGACGGGAGCAUUAGAAAAUGACUGGAGACAUUCAUGACUCUAGGUGAUAUGGGAUGGAAAAAGGAAGAGUCUAGGAAAGGCAGGGAAGUGAGAAGCAGUUUUCUGCCUGUGAAUAGACACGGUAAGGUGUUGUUAAAUAAACAAGUAUUCUGGAACAUCUAUUAAUCCCAAGGGUCUUUUCCCACAUGAGCAAAAGAGAUGAGCCCCUGUGUGGAAUCACAAAGAAGCCAGGCACAGUGGAAGAGAAGGGAGCUGGAAGAAGGGGCAGCUGUGUGGAGCCUUUCUCAAAGGCCUUGGCAGAGCCCAGAUACAUUUGAGCCCUCCUUAUAUACUUUGGCAGUUUUCUCCAGAAGGGAUCCAAGAAAAUUCCAGAAAUGGAGCUGUUAACCUUCAACACACCCUGGUGAAGUUCAUAGGUGGGGGUAAAACAAAACAUGUCCAAAGAGACCAAAGAGUUAUUAUUCUUGAAUGAAAAUUAUGACUGAGGAGAAACAGAUGCUGAAGAGAUAUACCAAGAUAUGAAAAUGUGCUGUAAAAGAAGACAAUGGAACUAGGGGAAAAUGGAAGCCCAAAGAAGAAAAAGCAAAAAAGAUCAAAUUCCCUUUUUAAACACACAAUUGUAAUGUUUGAGUGUGCCAAGUCAUAAAAAUGCACAUGCAAUUCUAACUCUGGCCUAAACAUUUGACUUUCAGAGAAAAAAAAAAAAAUUGCAAUCCUGCCACGAAACCUCUCAAUUGCCAAAAACAAUUGUUUACAUAGGGCAGUGUGUUUUGAGGACAUCACAUAUGUGGUGCCUGCCCAGACCCUGUUAAGCUGGUAAGGCUAAGUGAAGCUUGGUAACACUAAGUGGAGACAAGAAAGGAAGUCUAGUAAAGAGAGAGGAGGGAGUUCCCAUUGUGGCUCAGUGGU